GAUGAACGCUGGCGGCGUGCUUAACACAUGCAAGUCGAACGGAAAGGCCCAAGCUUGCUUGGGUACUCGAGUGGCGAACGGGUGAGUAACACGUGGGUGAUCUGCCCUGCACUUCGGGAUAAGCCCGGGAAACUGGGUCUAAUACCGGAUAGGACCACAUUUUGGAUGGUGUGGUGGAAAGUUUUUCGGUGUGGGAUGAGCUCGCGGCCUAUCAGCUUGUUGGUGGGGUAAUGGCCUACCAAGGCGUCGACGGGUAGCCGGCCUGAGAGGGUGUACGGCCACAUUGGGACUGAGAUACGGCCCAGACUCCUACGGGAGGCAGCAGUGGGGAAUAUUGCACAAUGGGCGCAAGCCUGAUGCAGCGACGCCGCGUGGGGGAUGACGGCCUUCGGGUUGUAAACUCCUUUCGCUAGGGACGAAGCGCAAGUGACGGUACCUGGAGAAGAAGCACCGGCUAACUACGUG
rnacentral:rRNA from 1 species